CCAACUCAUCAUUGCAUCUUGAAUGCCUGUAACUAGUUGAACAACAACGCACAGGCAGCGCCAGUUCCCUUGCCUCAAACACUGGCUUUUGGACCCGUUUCGUAUCGGUUAUCGCACUGAUUCCAGGGUGUUUCCUCCCUUAACUUCACGAUAGGUUUGGGCAUUUUACUACCACUCAGCCGAACUCUUAGCAGAGUUGUUUCUCUCUCACCUCUUCUUUCUGCCAUAUGAGUGGCCGUACCAUUCCUAUGAUGACCCGACAAGUCGGUCAUUCCUGACGCAAACCUUCUGGCUAUGACUCCCCUGCGAAUGGCAAAACAA
rnacentral:sRNA from 2 species